rnacentral:rRNA from 1 species
GGGGGGAGCAAGCGUUGUUCGGAAUCACUGGGCGUAAAGGGCGUGUAGGCGGUUGAGUAAGUGGAAUGUGAAAUGCCCCGGCUCACCCGGGGACCUGCAUUCCAUACUGCUCAGCUCGAGUAUGGGAGAGGAUGAGGGAAUUCCUGGUGUAGCGGUGAAAUGCGUAGAUAUCAGGAGGAACACCGGUGGCGAAAGCGCUCAUCUGGCCCAAUACUGACGCUGAGGCGCGAAAGCUAGGGGAGCAAACGGGAUUAGAUACCCCGGUAGUCCUAGCCGUAAACGGUGAUCACUAGGUGUUGGAGGCAUCGACCCCUCCAGUGCCGCAGCUAACGCAUUAAGUGAUCCGCCUGGGGAGUACGGCCGCAAGGUUGAA